rnacentral:lncRNA from 1 species
CCGGUUCAUAACAAAAAUAGACCGGCUCGGGGAAGUACUCUCACGGUCCAGAGAGAACCGUAUAGAUGAAGCAGAAGACGACGACGUCCUAGAGGUCGACGAAUAAAAUCUUCCGGCAGGUGAAAGUGAACUUAGCACUGGUCCAGUCGAUCUUCGAGCAGAAACCGCCAUUUUUUUCUGCUUUAACAGUUAUAAGAGGGAGGAAUCUAGAGAGGAGUGUCUUUAUGACGUCCUAAAGGUCGACGAAUAAAAUAUUCCGGCAGGUGAAAGUGAACGUAGCACUGGUCCAAUCGAUCUCCGAGAAGAAACCACCAUUUUUUUUUAUGCUUUUACAGUUAUAAGAGGGAGGAAUCUAUAGAGGAUUGUCUUUAAGCCGUGUUUGGCUGUUUGAUUUGGCAAACCGUAGUUUCACUUGAGCACGAGACUCUAAUCAAUUGAGUAGAAGCUUUUGGAUUGAGAAUAAUGA